rnacentral:rRNA from 1 species
AGCCUGAUGCAGCGACGCCGCGUGCGGGAUGACGGCCUUCGGGUUGUAAACCGCUUUUGACAGGGACGAAGCGCAAGUGACUGUACCUGUAGAAUAAGGACCGGCCAACUACGUGCCAGCAGCCGCGGUAAUACGUAGGGUCCGAGCGUUGUCCGGAAUUACUGGGCGUAAAGAGCUUGUAGGCGGUUCGUCGCGUCGUUUGUGAAAACUUGGGGCUCAACCUUAAGCUUGCAGGCGAUACGGGCGGACUAGAGUACUUCAGGGGAGACUGGAAUUCCUGGUGUAGCGGUGAAAUGCGCAGAUAUCAGGAGGAACACCGGUGGCGAAGGCGGGUCUCUGGGAAGUAACUGACGCUGAGAAGCGAAAGCAUGGGUAGCAAACAGGAUUAGAUACCCUGGUAGUCCAUGCCGUAAACGGUGGGUACUAGGUGUGGGGCUCCUUCCACGGACUCCGUGCCGUAGCUAACGCAUUAAGUACCCCGCCUGGGGAGUACGGCCGCAAGGCUAAAACUCAAA